rnacentral:miRNA from 1 species
UGUUCCAAAUGUGAAGAAUGUUGU